rnacentral:misc_RNA from 1 species
GAUGAAGAACGUAGCGAAAUGCGAUAAGUAGUGUGAAUUGCAGAAUUCAGUGAAUCAUCGAAUCUUUGAACGCACAUUGCGCCCCUCGGUAUUCCGUGGGGCACGCCUGUUCGAGCGUCAUUUACACCCUCAAGCGCAGCUUGGUGUUGGGCGUCUGUCCCACUCUCCGUAGCGCGGACUCGCCUCAAAGUCAUUGGCGGCGGUCGUGCCGGCUCCUCGCGCAGCACAUUUGCGCUUCUCGGAGGCCCGGCGGAUCGGCAUCCAGCAAGCUACUUUUUAUGACUUGACCUCGGAUCAGGUGAGGAUACCCGCUGAACUUAAGCAUAUCAAUAAGCGGAGGA